AGAGUUUGAUCCUGGCUCAGGAUGAACGCUAGCGGCAGGCUUAAUACAUGCAAGUCGAGGGGCAACACGAGUAGCAAUACUUGGUGGCGACCGGCGCACGGGUGCGUAACACGUAUACAAUCUACCUUAAACAGGGGGAUAGCCUUUCGAAAGAGAGAUUAAUACCCCGUAAUAAAUUUGAUGGCAUCAUUAGAUUUUGAAAGCUCCGGCGGUUUGAGAUGAGUAUGCGUCUGAUUAGCUAGUUGGUGAGGUAAUGGCUCACCAAGGCGACGAUCAGUAGGGGAUCUGAGAGGACUACCCCCCACACUGGUACUGAGACACGGACCAGACUCCUACGGGAGGCAGCAGUAAGGAAUAUUGGUCAAUGGGGGCAACCCUGAACCAGCCAUGCCGCGUGCAGGAUGACGGCCCUAUGGGUUGUAAACUGCUUUUAUACCAGAGAAAACCCGAGUACGUGUACUCGGUUGAUAGUAUGGUAAGAAUAAGCAUCGGCUAACUUCGUGCCAGCAGCCGCGGUAAGACGAAGGAUGCAAGCGUUAUCCGGAUUCAUUGGGUUUAAAGGGUGCGUAGGCGGACUUGUAAGUCAGUGGUGAAAUCUCUUUGCUUAACAAAGAAACUGCCAUUGAUACUGCAGGUCUAGAGUAUAGAUGACGUUGGCGGAAUAUGACAUGUAGUGGUGAAAUACUUAGAUAUGUCAUAGAACACCGAUUGCGAAGGCAGCUAACGAAACUAUAACUGACGCUGAGGCACGAAAGUGCGGGGAUCAAACAGGAUUAGAUACCCUGGUAG
rnacentral:rRNA from 1 species